AUGGGUAUGUCCUGUAUUUCUCUUCUUUCUUGCUUAGUUCUGCUCAGCUAUUCAAGCAGCUGUCCCCUGCCUCAGUUUCCCUGUGUUACACAGAUUAUCUGUUGUUGUGCUGGGGCACUCGGACCUUCCAGAAGUGUCUGUGAUUCUUCAUAGCAUGCACUCAAAGGCAACUGUCCAGGAAAGGCUCCACAGUCUGCAGCAGCCCAGGGGAGAGACUGAAAUCUUCAAGUGGAAAUAAAUCAGAAGCCCAAAUAAAUCUCCUGCUCCAGAAACUCGUCUACUGGGUAUACAACACCAGCUGUAUGAAUGCAGUUUGCAUGUGGGAAACACAGCAAUGGCAGGGCUUUCAUUUUGGACUGCAAAGAACACCAGGUGCCCAAAGCACUGCUUUCUGCAGAGACAGAAUGGAUAAAAUUCCUCCCAACGAGGCAGUUCUUCUCACCCAACCGAGCUGCUUUCUACUUACAAGGAGCUCUGAAUGCCUUCAAAACAGAAGGGCCUGACCCCAAGCUGGCUGAAAUCAAGGGAGAGACUCAGAGCUCGGAUGCUGGAGCCAAAAACCUCUUUUCAUUGGGAUUACAGAAUGAACUAUCGCACUGUUUAAGUUUCCCCUUUGACUGCGUAUGUUUUCUGGCUAAUACAGUUAGUCGGGAAUUGGCAUCAAACGUUUCUCGACACCUGCUUCAUGUCCUUCCAUGGUGGAGUUGUGGACAGGAU